AUUGAACGCUGGCGGCAGGCCUAACACAUGCAAGUCGAACGAGAGGCGGACGGGUGAGUAAUGUCUGGGAAACUGCCUGGUGGAGGGGGCUAACUACUGGAAAAGGUAGCUAAUACCGCAUACCAUCAGAUGUGCCCAGAUGGGAUUAGCUUGUUGGGGGGGUAACGGCGCACCAAGGCGAAGAUCCCUAGCUGGUCUGAGAGGAUGACCAGCCAAACCGGAACUGAGACACGGUCCAGACUCCUACGUGAGGCAGCAGUGGGGAAUAUUGCACAAGGGGCGCAAGCCUGAUGCAGCUAUGCCGCGUGUAUGAAGAAGGCCUUCGGGUUGUAAAGUACUUUCAGCGGGGAGGCGUUACCCGCAGAAGAAGCACCGGCUAACUCCGUGCCAGCCGCCGCGGUAAUAC
rnacentral:rRNA from 1 species